rnacentral:lncRNA from 1 species
AAGUUGUCUAAGUAUUCUAAGUAAAAGGCAAAUUUUGUCCGAUUAGGUUUUAAAAUUGUGAAGCCCAAUUAUAUGCUGCCUAUUAAAAAUGUACUUCAAAGCCGGGCGCAGUGGCUCAUGCCUGUAAUCUCAACACUUUGGGUGGCCGAAGUGGGCGGAUCACUUGAGAUCAGGAGUUAAAGACCAGCCUGGCCAACAUGGUUUACAUAUUCAUUUCUCUCUAAACUUAGCAUUCAGCACUGCAUAGAUGCCAGUUCAAUUUUUUGUUAAAUUGUUCAUAGGAACAAAUAAACUAACACCAACUUAUCCAAACACAUGUAUACCUAUGUAACAAACCUGCACAUUGUGCACAUAUACCCUAGAACUUAAAGUAUAAUUAAAAAAAAUUAUUCAAGAUCUGCAAAAUGGAAACUAAAACACUGCUAAGAGAAAUUAAAGAAAAUUUAAAUGUGUUUGGCAGUUCCCCCUUCGCUCUCUUUGUCUCCUGCCACCAUGUAAGUCAUGCCUUGCUUUCCCUUCACCUUCCACCAUGAUUGUAAGUUUCUGAGACCUCUUCAGCCAUGUGGAACUGUGUAUCAACUAAACCUCUUUCCUUUAUAAAUUACUCAGUCUUGGGUAGUUCUUUAUAGCAGUGUGAAAACAGACUAAUAACCUUACCUCAAACAUACACAAAAAUUAACUCUAAAAUUACCAUAAGUAUAACAAAGAGGCUAAAACUAUUAAACUUCUAAACAUUGAGAAAAUUUUUUCAAACUUAAGGUUAAAGACUUUGUGUGUGCGAUUUUCUUUUUUGUUAUUUUCUUUUCUGAAAGACACAAAAAAGCAUUAAGCA